GGGCCUGUGGUCUAGCGGCUACAGCAAAAGAGCAGCUCUUUUGAGCUUGCGGCUUUUGCGCCGCAAAUGAUCCCACCUUCACACGGUGGUGGUCGCCAGUUCGAAUCUGGCCAGGCCCA
rnacentral:tRNA from 1 species